UUGCCCCACCAUCCCCAUCUUGAAGACUGGAAUGAGGAGUUGACUGACCACUCGGCUGUCUGUCUUCUUGGAUUUUUCACCACCUUUUGCCUACUUUGAGCCUGGGGUGGCUGCCUUGGGCUGAAGGCCAGUGCACCUGUCUGCUGAAUAAUUGCUCAGGAUAAGGAGACACCAACCUACCUCAGCCCAGCACAGCACGGCAAUGACAAACGGACAGGAGCUAUGGCCUUCCACCCUGAUCUCCCUGGACUCUGCUUGGUGCAGCUGUGGCUCCCAGGAUCCUCUAGGCCUCUUGUUCCCUACUCUACCUCCUUUUAACCUAAGAAAUCUCCAUCCCCGAUGCCUGCCGGUUGCUGAAGCUGGUUUGAAAUGCCCUGAUGCCAACACCUGUAAUCCUGGCACUUGUGUGG